UGGUAAUCCAGCUCAGCACAAAAGGAACAGCUGGUUUGGUAUAUGUGCUGGACUGAGGAGCCAAUGGUGCGAAGCUACAAUCUGUGGGAUCAUGACUGAACGCCUCUAAGUCAGAAUCCCGCCUAGA
rnacentral:ncRNA from 1 species